rnacentral:lncRNA from 1 species
GAGUAGCUGGGGUUACAGGUGCAUGCCACCACGCCUGGAUAAUUUUUUGUAUUUCUAGUAGAGAUGGGGUUUCACCAUGUUGGUCAGUCUGGUCUUGAACUCCUGACCUCAAGUGAUCCACCCACCUCGGCCCCCCAAAGUACUGGGAUUACAGGUGUGAGCCACCGCGCCUGGCCAAGGGUCUUCUUUUUAAGGGUGAAUAAUGUUUUGUUGUGUGUGCGUGUGUGUGUGUGCGUAUGCCACAUUUUCUUUUUCCAUUCAUCUGUUGAUGGAGACUUAGAUUGUUUCCGUAUCUUGGCGAUUGGGAGUAAUGCCGCAGUGAAUAUUGGAGUGCAGAUGUCUUUAUGAGGUGUGAUUUGAUCUCCAUUGAGUAUGUGUCCAGAAGAGGGAUAGCUGGGUCUAUGUAAUGUAUACUGAUAAGCAGCACAGAGUGGGCACAUAGGAUAGCAUAGAUGCCAUUUUUCUCACAGAUAGUUUGCCGACCUCUUCCUAGAGUUACGUUUUUCUUGUUCCUGAGACAAUAAUGUGGCUGUAAGUACUAAUAGAGACAGUGGCAUUUGUGGGUUGCUUAUGAUCUGCCAGCCCCUGCGUUAAGUGUUCUCUGUGUCUGUUUCAGAUGGGUCUGCUGUGUGCAGAGGCUCCAUGGGAUGUGUUGUCUUCAUAGUAGCAGGGCGCUGGACCAUGGGUCCGCAAGGUCUCAGCCUUAGAUCCAAGGACAGUCCAAGGAAGUCCUAAGACCAUGGAGUUGGUGAUCUGGGAUCUGGGUUUGCUGAUAUUUCUCACCGUGAAUCUCUUGGUGGUGUUUGUGGGCACGAGAGGGGCAGAGAAUGGAGAGUGAGGCUACCACAUGAAGCGUCACCAGAGCUGCUCCCUGCUGCCUGCUCAGAGCACCCCGGAUCCACUGUUCAAUCUGCACAAGAUUCGGGGUCCAGACAUGGGAGACUUCAGCUGCCUCAGAGGACCGUGGACAGGGAAGGCCAGCCUCGCAUCCCUCUGUCCAUGCCUGGAAUGACUUUAAUAACCAAGAGUUUUAUUUUUGAAUUUGUAGCUGUCGUUCACUUUUUACCCACCCAUUCAAUAAACCUUACAGAAUUGCUCCA